rnacentral:rRNA from 2 species
GGGUUGUGAGGUUAAGCGACUAAGCGUACACGGUGGAUGCCCUGGCAGUCAGAGGCGAUGAAGGACGUGCUAAUCUGCGAUAAGCGUCGGUAAGGUGAUAUGAACCGUUAUAACCGGCGAUUUCCGAAUGGGGAAACCCAGUGUGAUUCGUCACACUAUCAUUAACUGAAUCCAUAGGUUAAUGAGGCGAACCGGGGGAACUGAAACAUCUAAGUACCCCGAGGAAAAGAAAUCAACCGAGAUUCCCCCAGUAGCGGCGAGCGAACGGGGAGCAGCCCAGAGCCUGAAUCAGUGUGUGUGUUAGUGGAAGCGUCUGGAAAGGCGCGCGAUACAGGGUGACAGCCCCGUACACAAAAAUGCACAUGCUGUGAGCUCGAUGAGUAGGGCGGGACACGUGGUAUCCUGUCUGAAUAUGGGGGGACCAUCCUCCAAGGCUAAAUACUCCUGACUGACCGAUAGUGAACCAGUACCGUGAGGGAAAGGCGAAAAGAACCCCGGCGAGGGGAGUGAAAAAGAACCUGAAACCGUGUACGUACAAGCAGUGGGAGCACGCUUAGGCGUGUGACUGCGUACCUUUUGUAUAAUGGGUCAGCGACUUAUAUUCUGUAGCAAGGUUAACCGAAUAGGGGAGCCGAAGGGAAACCGAGUCUUAACUGGGCGUUAAGUUGCAGGGUAUAGACCCGAAACCCGGUGAUCUAGCCAUGGGCAGGUUGAAGGUUGGGUAACACUAACUGGAGGACCGAACCGACUAAUGUUGAAAAAUUAGCGGAUGACUUGUGGCUGGGGGUGAAAGGCCAAUCAAACCGGGAGAUAGCUGGUUCUCCCCGAAAGCUAUUUAGGUAGCGCCUCGUGAAUUCAUCUCCGGGGGUAGAGCACUGUUUCGGCAAGGGGGUCAUCCCGACUUACCAACCCGAUGCAAACUGCGAAUACCGGAGAAUGUUAUCACGGGAGACACACGGCGGGUGCUAACGUCCGUCGUGAAGAGGGAAACAACCCAGACCGCCAGCUAAGGUCCCAAAGUCAUGGUUAAGUGGGAAACGAUGUGGGAAGGCCCAGACAGCCAGGAUGUUGGCUUAGAAGCAGCCAUCAUUUAAAGAAAGCGUAAUAGCUCACUGGUCGAGUCGGCCUGCGCGGAAGAUGUAACGGGGCUAAACCAUGCACCGAAGCUGCGGCAGCGACACUGUGUGUUGUUGGGUAGGGGAGCGUUCUGUAAGCCUGCGAAGGUGUGCUGUGAGGCAUGCUGGAGGUAUCAGAAGUGCGAAUGCUGACAUAAGUAACGAUAAAGCGGGUGAAAAGCCCGCUCGCCGGAAGACCAAGGGUUCCUGUCCAACGUUAAUCGGGGCAGGGUGAGUCGACCCCUAAGGCGAGGCCGAAAGGCGUAGUCGAUGGGAAACAGGUUAAUAUUCCUGUACUUGGUGUUACUGCGAAGGGGGGACGGAGAAGGCUAUGUUGGCCGGGCGACGGUUGUCCCGGUUUAAGCGUGUAGGCUGGUUUUCCAGGCAAAUCCGGAAAAUCAAGGCUGAGGCGUGAUGACGAGGCACUACGGUGCUGAAGCAACAAAUGCCCUGCUUCCAGGAAAAGCCUCUAAGCAUCAGGUAACAUCAAAUCGUACCCCAAACCGACACAGGUGGUCAGGUAGAGAAUACCAAGGCGCUUGAGAGAACUCGGGUGAAGGAACUAGGCAAAAUGGUGCCGUAACUUCGGGAGAAGGCACGCUGAUACGUAGGUGAAGUCCCUCGCGGAUGGAGCUGAAAUCAGUCGAAGAUACCAGCUGGCUGCAACUGUUUAUUAAAAACACAGCACUGUGCAAACACGAAAGUGGACGUAUACGGUGUGACGCCUGCCCGGUGCCGGAAGGUUAAUUGAUGGGGUCAGCGCAAGCGAAGCUCUUGAUCGAAGCCCCGGUAAACGGCGGCCGUAACUAUAACGGUCCUAAGGUAGCGAAAUUCCUUGUCGGGUAAGUUCCGACCUGCACGAAUGGCGUAAUGAUGGCCAGGCUGUCUCCACCCGAGACUCAGUGAAAUUGAACUCGCUGUGAAGAUGCAGUGUACCCGCGGCAAGACGGAAAGACCCCGUGAACCUUUACUAUAGCUUGACACUGAACAUUGAGCCUUGAUGUGUAGGAUAGGUGGGAGGCUUUGAAGUGUGGACGCCAGUCUGCAUGGAGCCGACCUUGAAAUACCACCCUUUAAUGUUUGAUGUUCUAACGUUGACCCGUAAUCCGGGUUGCGGACAGUGUCUGGUGGGUAGUUUGACUGGGGCGGUCUCCUCCUAAAGAGUAACGGAGGAGCACGAAGGUUGGCUAAUCCUGGUCGGACAUCAGGAGGUUAGUGCAAUGGCAUAAGCCAGCUUGACUGCGAGCGUGACGGCGCGAGCAGGUGCGAAAGCAGGUCAUAGUGAUCCGGUGGUUCUGAAUGGAAGGGCCAUCGCUCAACGGAUAAAAGGUACUCCGGGGAUAACAGGCUGAUACCGCCCAAGAGUUCAUAUCGACGGCGGUGUUUGGCACCUCGAUGUCGGCUCAUCACAUCCUGGGGCUGAAGUAGGUCCCAAGGGUAUGGCUGUUCGCCAUUUAAAGUGGUACGCGAGCUGGGUUUAGAACGUCGUGAGACAGUUCGGUCCCUAUCUGCCGUGGGCGCUGGAGAAUUGAGGGGGGCUGCUCCUAGUACGAGAGGACCGGAGUGGACGCAUCACUGGUGUUCGGGUUGUCAUGCCAAUGGCACUGCCCGGUAGCUAAAUGCGGAAGAGAUAAGUGCUGAAAGCAUCUAAGCACGAAACUUGCCCCGAGAUGAGUUCUCCCUGACUCCUUGAGAGUCCUGAAGGAACGUUGAAGACGACGACGUUGAUAGGCCGGGUGUGUAAGCGCAGCGAUGCGUUGAGCUAACCGGUACUAAUGAACCGUGAGGCUUAACCUUACAACGCCGAAGGUGUUU